GAGGACUAUCUUCUGUAUUGAUCUGCUGUGCGUGAUUCCCUCUCGGACUGACAAUUCUGUGGAAUUUUUUUUCCCAGGAGACCGCGGAAGGGGAGAGAGAGCGAAAGGAGACCGGAAGAGGGGUGGGGUGGGGGUCUCCUUUCCCGGUGUUGCGCCAUGACGGCGAACGAGGACCAAGAGAUGGAGUUGGAAGCAUUACGUUCUAUUUAUGAAGGGGAUGAAUGUUUUAGGGAACUUAGUCCCAUUUCAUUUCAAUAUAGGAUUGGUGAAAGUGGAGACCCCAAAGCCUUUCUUAUAGAAAUAUCAUGGCCAGAAACAUACCCACAAACUGCUCCAGUCAUAUCAAUGGAUGCAUUCUUCAACAAUGCCAUAUCCUCAGCCAUAAAACAAAGUAUAUUGAAUAAAUUAAUGGAAGAAGUUGAAGUUAACCUGGGAACCUCAAUGACAUACACAAUAUUUGAAUAUGCUAAAGAUAAUAAAGAGAUUUUCAUGGAAAAUCAACCAGUUAAUACUGUGACAGCAUUAAAUAACUGCAUCUCAACUGGACAUUCUGAUGCAGCACCACCAACUAAAAAAAAGGAGAAAAAGGAACAAUUGUCCAAAACGCAAAAGCGGAAGUUAGCUGACAAAACAGAUCACAAAGGAGAACUUCCUCGAGGAUGGAAUUGGGUUGACGUAAUCAAGGUAAGGGUGUUGAAAAUUAACAAUAUCAAAAUGGUAAUUUGGGGGAGAUUUUAGCAGUAUCUAAUUUUUUUUCUUUUUUCUUUUUUUAACCAUUUUGGAUAUGAAUGAUAAUGGGAUUUUCCUCGUGUUUUUAUAAAGCAUCUGAGCAAAACGGGCUCGAAGGAUGAUGAAUAGGAGGACUUUAAUAUAGGAAAACCUUAGCUGAAUCCACAUUGUAAUAACAUUGAUUUCCCCCCCCCCCACAAGUUUUAUAAAUAACAGUUCCACACAUGUUUAAAUGUGUUAAAAUGUACCCAUCAAGAGCAUCAUUUUUCUUUAUGAUUUUCGUCCAAUCACAUGUUUUCCUUUAGAGGAAAUAUGUCAAAGGCAGUGUUGAUGUACUUUGUCAUGACACUGACUGUAACAAUAUGUAAUUUUAAUGUAUAUUGUUAUUCACUGUACUAAAUCAUAAA